rnacentral:lncRNA from 1 species
AGGAGAUCAACGACACAACACUACAAUGUAACAUACACAGAAACGGACCAAGCAUCAGACAAAAUCCCACGAGAAUAACAAAUAUAACAUCAAAUACAUUAAUUUGGGAUAGACAAGUACCGUGACACGUCUUAUCGCAAUGUGAAUGUACACUCAAAAAUAAGAGAAAACAAACGACACAACGUUAAAAUGUAACACACACA